AUUCUUGACACCCUCACUCGCCACACGUUUUGAACAACUUUGCACUUCGCCGGAGGAACCAGAAGUCACCGGAGAAACCUGCAAGACGCCGAAACCGAACAAAGAUUGGUGGAGACCUUUUCGACUCGUUCGAAAGACGACAUCGCGCAUUGUCGGAAAAAGAAGACAUGUGGUCGGAGUUCCCGCAAAUUCACCGGAGAUGAGAAGACGACGCCGGACUCGCACCUUCAUUUCGGUUAAUCACUUUCGUUCGUCCCCUUGGUUUCCAAUCAAUUACUUGUGCGUUUUUACAAGGAAUCGCAACGCAAUCAAGGUGAGUAUACAUGACACAUUUUCCAUUUUAACACUUUUGGGUGCAAUGUGUAUUCUAUAUCAAUCACAUUAUUCACUUCAAAUAGCUUUAUGCACACUCUAUCCAAAUU